rnacentral:rRNA from 1 species
CCUACGGGAGGCUGCAGUAGGGAAUAUUGCUCAAUGGGGGAAACCCUGAAGCAGCAACGCCGCGUGGAGGAUGAAUGUUUUCGGAUUGUAAACUCCUUUUGUUAGAGAAGAUAAUGACGGUAUCUAACGAAUAAGCACCGGCUAACUCCGUGCCAGCAGCCGCAGUAAUACGGAGGGUGCAAGCGUUACUCGGAAUCACUGGGCGUAAAGAGCGCGUAGGCAGGAUAGCACGUCAGAUGUGAAAUCCUAGGGCUUAACCAUAGAACUGCAUUUGAAACUGUUAUUCUAGAGUAUGCGAGAGGUAGGUGGAAUUCUUGGUGUAGGGGUGAAAUCCGUAGAGAUCAAGCGGAAUACGCAUGGCGAAGGCGACCUGCUAGAACAUAACUGACGCUGAUGCGCGAAAGCGUGGGGAGCAAACAGGAUUAGAUACCCCAGUAGUC